AAAAGCCGAUCUUUUGUUGAUAUAAUUCAGGCAGAUCCCCACUUUGGUAAAAAGACACCAAAUACAAAGGUACUACACUGAAAAAAAAAUGCAAGUCCAGGGUGUGACAGUCAGAAAUUUGUGGAAGGCCUUCAUCUAUAUGGUGGCCCAUGGAUAAGAACAAAAUGAAAUACACGGUAAUAUUAAUUGAUACUGAUUAUAUUUUCUAGCAAUGUAGAGGUUACUUAAAACAUAUAUAUUUUUGGGCUGGGUACACAAAUUUUGCAUGACCAUUUUCACAUCAUUAAUUUUGUGUUACCUGGUAGCGCGCAUGGGUUGGUUUAGAUAAAGGUUAGGGUUAGGAUCACAGAUGGGGUUAGGCUACAUAACCAUGAUUUAAUGUUUUCCUACUUUCUUCUUUGUUAGAGAUAGAUGUUAAGUUUUUUAUUGUAAGGACUGUCAGUAUGUGGGCCAGUCACCUUCUCUCCAUAUUUCUUACAUAUGGGGAGAGGCUCGUUGGUCACGAAUGUAUAUGCCAUUCUUGUGUCCUAUUCUUUCUACUGAGAAUAACAACAUCUAUGCUAUUCCGUAAGCAGUUACAAUUAUUUGAAGUUAUGUCCUUUUCAUCCGAUAUUUUCUGCUAGUAACACCACAAGAUGGUUUUUGUAUGAAUUUUAAUGUUAUUGUAAAAGAACUGAGUGCCUGAAUCAAUGCCUCGCUUGGCAUCUUGGCCUGCAAUUUCAUUACCGAUGAUACCAACUUGUCUGGUUAUCAUUGUAGAGUGCACACUAAUCCUUCUUUUAUUUAGGUUUUUAAUAGUUUAUGAAAUGAUUUGAAUGUUUUUGUGGGUAGAUUGAGAGUCAAAGCUAUACAGGCCAUAUAUAGGCUAUGUUGUGGGCAUUGUCUAAUUCUUCUGUAUUAUUAGUAUUAUUAUUUGUUUUUAUUUUGACGGCAGCACAUACACUGUCUGUGAAUACAAGCUUGUUUUAGGUAUGAUGAGAGGUUACUAAGAGGCAGGGGUUUGGUAUUCUCCAAGCACUAGAUCCUUCUUUUAAGGAGUCAUUGGUAUUCUCCACUAGCCAGUUUGCUUGUUCAUUGCCCAGUCGCCCAAAACAUUGGCAGAUAUUCCUAUGACCCCCGUCUACCUGCAGCAACGUGUCAGCUUUGGAGGGAGUUCUUUAAGCCGGGAACACACCCGUUGCAACGCCAUGUGAUGCUACCCUACGCUUUGCCACGUUUCGGUAGGGUGUGCACAUCUAUCCGAUGUCAAGCGCACGCCACGUACAGUCCACAGCGUGUAUCAC